CCAGAGUGAGAGCCUUGACUUGGAGUGUUCUGAUUUAUUUCAUCUGCACUUAGAAGAUAUCUUUUGUUUUGUUGCGCAUUGGAAAAAGAAGACCCUGGUGGAACAUCGCACUCAUAAAACAACAAAAAAGAAGAAACAACUAUGAAACAGGAAUAUUUGAAGACAUGGAGGGCUCAUGACAAGAAACGGACAUAUUACACCAGGGAGAUGGCAGUGGGAAGCCUUUCCCCUUUCCUUCAUCUCAUGGAAACACACUUCUAUAUGGAUGGGAGUCUUCAGGCUUGGCAACGCACAGCCAGCCACACAUCCACCCACCACCAGUGAAUGAGGGAACUGGAAACUCUGGGGCAAGGAGGU